GUUUAGAGGGAUGGGAAAUCAGUGUUCAGAGCAGCAACACCUGGGGGUUGACAUUUAGGCGCACUGGAGGCUGUCAGGCGUGGAAACCACUCAUAAAGAAUGUGUCUGCCCAGGGGUGGGUGCACCUCAGCUUCCCAGGGAAGGUUCCUCUUGAAGGGAAUGACCUGGGGUCACCAUGAGCAUCAUGGGAGCAACCAUCGAGCCUAAUGUACAACCCUGCUCUCUAGGAUCUGGGAAUGAUGAUGGAGAAGCCUUUUCAGAUCGCCUGCCCCCUUGUACUCCUGUUAGAAAUCAAGGCUACAGAACAGCGUGCUUGGAAGAGCGGCUCCAGCCCUUUUCAUAGUGCAGUUCCCGAGUGUGGGUGAUUUUCAGCCCCAAGGCCAUGGCUUGAUCCACCAACAAGUAGUCUUGAUUUCCCUCUUGAUAAAUUAUCAGGUCAGAUAAAGCAUUGUGAGACAGCUUGCACAUGUUAGUACUGAGCUAAUGGCUUUCUGCCUGCACCCUGAGUCACGUUUACACUGUGGAUUGUGUCCUCAUCGACUUAAAACCCAUCUGUCAGUCACAAAGUGUGUACAGAAAUGAGAAAUGUCACCUCUCCAAAACACCCAUUUCAAGGCUGCCUUUUGGAGAGGGCAAACCUGAGUGGUUUGAACUUCAGUUUUUUACUAAAGAAGAUGGUGUGUUUUACCACAUUUCUAAGAGAUAAACCACAAGUCUGGACAGAAGGCAGUGAGGAAUUACAAAGUAAAGGCGCAAUGAACAGCAGUUGGCAGGACGUACAACUUAGUUUUGCUGCAUAGCAAUGACCUUUAGACUUUGUGGCUUGAUCUCCUGACAACUUUGAGGGAUAGCCACAGCUGGCUCGGCUGGGUUCCAGUGUCAAGGGUGUCUUACCAACACGUCUAUGGCUAGUGACUGCUCAGGCAGGGCACUGCUGAUGAGAUUUCAGGCACGCAGAAAGGACUAUGCUGCUAAGGAACAGGCUGGUUUGUUGGUUCCUAGGAGACAGACCUUGAAGGAGCAUUUACCGCAAGAGCCCUCACCUGGGCCAAGGUUUUGCCCCUUUUCUUGGAGGCCAUAUUCAACACAGUCACUGUCCCCAGAGUUAGAGAUACAGGGGUGCUUCUCUACCCAGGAGAUGGACAAAGCUAGAUGCUAACCUACAAAAUUUGGGGGGUGUUGAUGUUAUUACUGUUUUUGUUAGUUGGUUUCUUUUCUUUCUUUUUGGUUUUUGUUUGUUUGGUUUAUUUGCUUGCUUGCUUGCUUGCUUGCUCUCUAACUUGUUUGCUUGUUGAGAUAGGGUCUCAUUCUGAAACUCAGGCUAGCCUGAGGCUCUCUGUGUUGUUCAGACUGGCCUCAAAGUCAUGGCAGUUUUCUUGCCUCAGCCACCCAAGAGCUAAGAAUUACAGGCAUGCACUUCCAUUCCUAGCCUGCUGAUUUUAAAUUAAAAUAAAAACCACCCGAAGGAGAUGCCCUUCACGUGCUUGUCCCCAUGAAAACUCGCAGAGGGAAACAUUCUUUCAGGAAGAAUUGGGGAGGAGAGUGAAGUCAGGAAAGCGAGCUAGCAACGUGACACAAAUGUUCAGCAGCCAGAUUCAGAGAGUCUGGUGCCACUUUUCCCUGAUAGAAUAGAUCUCACACACACACACACACACACACACACACACACACACACACACACCCAGGCCCCUAGCAGGGCCCCUUCUUCCAGUAGGAUUUUGGGAAGAGCAUCUUUCAAGAUCCACGCAGAUCUACUUCUUAUUCAGUUCACUUUUCUGUUUCGUUUAAUUACGUUGCAAUUAAACAUGUUUUAUCUCACUGUACAAGGACAGCAUUUUAGCUACAUUACGGGUCAAAUGGGCUUUGGAGAACUAACCUGGAAGUCUCAUCACCAUUUGUCACGUUGGGUUUUUUCAUAGGGAAACUAUGUUGCAAAAUCUAAAGCCAAAGCACAAAUGAACUUGAAGAACCCAGCUCAUUUGUUGCAGGGAACUGUCUGCAGGGCCAAAAAUAACCCAGGGAAACAAAUACCAGGAUGGCUUCUGACACAGGUGUCAUUUCUUCUCCACUGGCCCCCACAGAGUUCCCUCCAUUUCGGUGAGGGGAAACAUGGUGUGUUGACUUGUGUAGUGAGUUCACCUCUCUAGAAUCCGUGGGUCAGAACUUCAUUUUCCUCUGGUAAAUAAGGAGCCCUGAGAACUGGGCAUGGCAUGUGGGCAGUGCAUCAGGAUGUACCACACACCCGUCCUCUGCUUCCUGGAGAAAGUAGGUGAAUACUAUGUAACCCUCGGCACCAUGAGGAGGAAGCUGUAUAGCUGGGGCUGGAACUAGAUACAUAUGUGGGAGGUAGAAACCAAUUUGUCCCUGAGCCCCGACUUAAAAUGCAAUCUGCUGACUACUACCCACCUCUGGGAAACUGCACCUACUGGACACCCACACCUGCUCUCGAGACUCCAAGUAUCUUGAGUCACUCAUUCACCUUGUCCCCCAACUCAUGUCCUCUUUUGUUCUGGGGAGGCAGAGCACAGGUUAGCACAGGUUAACUGUGUUUUCCAUUGGCUAUGCAAGGUAGACCAGUACCCCUAUGUUCAAGGUGAACAUGUUGCACAAGAGGAUGUAGCCAGAGUUCCCAGGGUAUCUAGGCCUGGGCCACAGCACUGGCAUCUAUCUGGUCAUCCCUGCUAGUGCAGAAGAGCUUCAGAGUUGAGUGAGGUUUACCUCACUGAGGACCAGACCGGCCGGAGCAGAAGCUCAGUUCUUGAUCUACUUCUUAGAGAAUCCUGGCUUCAGGGCAGAAGUGGCCUCCUGACAGGUGGAAGAGAUAGGACUUGGGGGUGAUAUGGUGAUGGGCUCAGGGGUGAGCAGAGCUAGAAACAGUUCCAAACCUGAGAAGGCACUGCCCUUGUCUGAGGCAGAUGUUGCUGGUCACCUGCCUAGCAUCUGUUCUCUCUCCAUCUUCCUUCCUAAUGGAACUCCUUCUGGUUCAGCUUCUAAUGCCUAGGUCUCACUCAGAUCAACCAAUUCUAGUCCCAGCUGGGAUUACAAUGACUCCGAAGUAGGUAUGUGGUCCUAUUGUUGCUGCCCAUUAUUGAGUUCUGAAAGAAUCAUGUGACCCAGUUCUGGCUAAUAGAUCCUGAGGGAUUCUGGGAGAGCUUUUUUUGCCUCUAAGGAAGAGUCUC
rnacentral:lncRNA from 1 species